rnacentral:rRNA from 1 species
AUUGAACGCUGGCGGCAGGCCUAACACAUGCAAGUCGAGCGGAUGAGGGGAGCUUGCUCCUUGAUUCAGCGGCGGACGGGUGAGUAAUGCCUAGGAAUCUGCCUGGUAGUGGGGGAUAACGUUCCGAAAGGAACGCUAAUACCGCAUACGUCCUACGGGAGAAAGCAGGGGACCUUCGGGCCUUGCGCUAUCAGAUGAGCCUAGGUCGGAUUAGCUAGUUGGUGAGGUAAUGGCUCACCAAGGCGACGAUCCGUAACUGGUCGGAGAGGAUGAUCAUUCCAACUGGAACUGAGAAACGGUCCAGACUCCUACGGGAGGCAGCAGUGGGGAAUAUUGGACAAUGGGCGAAAGCCUGAUCCCGCCAUGCCGCGUGUGUGAAGAAGGCCUUCGGGUCGUAAAGCUCUUUAGGCUGGGAAGAAGGAUAUUCGAGGAAAUGCGAGUAUUUUGACUGUACCAGCAGAAUAAGCACCGGCAAACUCUGUGCCAGCCGCCGCGGUAA